AACGAACGCUGGCGGCAGGCCUAACACAUGCAAGUCGAACGCUCCAGCAAUGGAGAGUGGCAGACGGGUGAGUAACGCGUGGGAACCUUCCCAGUGGUACGGAAUAGCCCAGGGAAACUUGGGGUAAUACCGUAUACGCCCCUAGGGGGAAAGAUUUAUCGCCAUUGGAUGGGCCCGCGUCGGAUUAGCUUGUUGGUGAGGUAAAAGCUCACCAAGGCGACGAUCCGUAGCUGGUCUGAGAGGAUGAUCAGCCACACUGGAACUGAGACACGGUCCAGACUCCUACGGGAGGCAGCAGUGGGGAAUCUUGCACAAUGGGCGCAAGCCUGAUGCAGCCAUGCCGCGUGAGUGAAGAAGGCCUUAGGGUUGUAAAGCUCUUUCACCAGGGAAGAUAAUGACGGUACCUGGAGAAGAAGCCCCGGCUAACUUCGUG
rnacentral:rRNA from 1 species